GCCCAGCUGGCUCAGUCGGUGGAGCGUGAGGCUCUUGAUCUUGGGGUGUGAGUUUGAGCCCCGUGUUGGGGG
rnacentral:tRNA from 1 species